UGGCACGUCAGUGCUGGGUGCCUACACUGGGCCGCAGGGUUGGGCGUGGCGAAGGCUGCCCCGCUGUUUGGGGCGUGGCUCGCAGUGGCCUGGCCACGCCCUUCCCGGAACAGCUCGGAAAAGCUUGCGGCCUGUAGGCGAUUUGACAAGGAGAUGAGGAAACAGAGGCUCAAGAGAAAUGAAAUGACUUGUCCAACGUUAUGCACUUGGUGAUUGGCAGAGCUGGGAUUCAAACCCUGGUUUUCUGACUCUCUGUCCAGUGCUCCUUCCACUGUACUAUAUGCCCCAGGACGGCAGCAGAGUUGAGAAUAGGCGGUCAGCAGGAGCCUGCAAAACACAGAUCAUUAUUAUCUCCAUGUUAGUGAUGGAAUGGGACUUCAAGGAGGUGAGGACACUUAUCCAGCUGGAUUUGAACCCUGGACUGUCUGGCUUCAACCUCUUGCCCCUUCCAUAGUAUAGCUGCCUCCAGGAGGGCAGGGGCAUGGAAUCAGAGCCCCAUGCCAUACAAGAAGCUCCAAGAGCCAAUGCUGAGGCUUGGCUUCAGCUGAGUGACAGCUUGAGAGCACGACGUUGACAGCUGUGCUGAGGCUGGUCCAGAAGCAAGUGAUGCUAAACUCGGAUGCUUGGGAACAGGAGCCAUGAUCAUAAAGACAAGAGAUGGCCAGGGGCUGCAGCAGGGUGCCGCGGAGGUGCUGGGCCCUGAACAGAAUGUCCUUGGGCCCCGCCCCCAACAGAAAAAGCUUCCUACUAACUGGCUCUGUGACCUUGAGCAAGUCUCUCAACCAUCUCAGUUCAGUGUCCUAACUUGUCAUCCAGGGCCACUACACCUGCUGGGUUGUCAUGGAAUUACAGGAGAUAAUGCAAGGAGACAGAACUGGGACAAGUCCAAGCCAGGGCUCUAAUAUUAAUUAGUUGUGUGAUCUGAGGCAAGUUACUUCACCUCUUUGAGCCUUUGCGUCCUCAGCUGUGUAGUGGGUAUGAGGACAUGCCCUAAAAGAUAGCCGUGAGGAGGUAGUAAUUAAAAGUAUGGGCUCUGGAGUACAAUUGCCUGGGUUCGAAUCACAUUCUGUGACCAAUGUGAGCCUUUGGGCAAAUUGCUUGAUCUCUGUGCCUCAGUUUCCUCCUCUGUAAAAUAAAGGUGAAUGUAAGCACA